rnacentral:rRNA from 1 species
GACGAACGCUGGCGGCGUGCUUAACACAUGCAAGUGGAGCGACGAACCAGGGCUUGCCCUGGGGCAGAGCCGCGAACGGGUGAGUAACACGUGGGUAACGUACCCCGAUGACUGGGACGAACCCGGGAAACCCGGGCGUAUACCAGAUGUGCACCCUCACGUCAGUGAGGUGUGUAAAGGAAGCUUCGGCCUCCGCGUUGGGAUCGGCCCGCGGCGCAUUAGCUCGUUGGUGAGGUAACGGCUCACCAAGGCAUCGAUGCGUAGCUGGUCUGAGAGGACGAUCAGCCACACUGGGACUGAGACACGGCCCAGACUCCUACGGGA